GCUCGGCUAGCUCAGUUGGUUAGAGCGUCGUACUAAUAUUCUUCCCGCAAGGAAAAUAUCAAGUUAUGCGAAGGUCCUCAGUUCAAUCCUGUGGCUGAGCA